rnacentral:rRNA from 1 species
UACGGGGGGGGCAAGCGUUGUUCGGAAUUACUGGGCGUAAAGGGCUCGUAGGUGGCCAACUAAGUCAGACGUGAAAUCCCUCGGCUUAACCGGGGAACUGCGUCUGAUACUGGAUGGCUUGAGUUUGGGAGAGGGAUGCGGAAUUCCAGGUGUAGCGGUGAAAUGCGUAGAUAUCUGGAGGAACACCGGUGGCGAAGGCGGCAUCCUGGACCAACACUGAGACUGAGGAGCGAAAGCCAGGGGAGCAAACGGG